rnacentral:rRNA from 1 species
AGAGUUUGAUCAUGGCUCAGGACGAACGCUGGCGGCGCGCCUAACACAUGCAAGUCGAACGAGCGAGAGAGAGCUUGCUUUCUCGAGCGAGUGGCGAACGGGUGAGUAACGCGUGAGGAACCUGCCUCAAAGAGGGGGACAACAGUUGGAAACGACUGCUAAUACCGCAUAAGCCCACGGCUCGGCAUCGAGCAGAGGGAAAAGGAGCAAUCCGCUUUGAGAUGGCCUCGCGUCCGAUUAGCUAGUUGGUGAGGUAACGGCCCACAAGGCAACGAUCGGUAGCCGGACUGAGAGGUUGAACGGCCAUAUUGGGACUGAGACACGGCCCAGACCUCCGUACGGGAGCA